rnacentral:sRNA from 1 species
CCAGCUUUCUCAGCGACAAGAGAAG